AAAAGAGGGCGCAAGGUUUAACGUACAUUACCAUAGUAAUGCUAAGCAACAGAGAAACAAAAGUUUCUUAGAACAGUUUAAUACUGAGUAACGUUAGUUGACGAGCUUCUGGCAGUAAACGAACGGUGUAAAUAACCUGGAUUGGCUAAGUAACGUUAUGUCUGGUUAGACGCUGCUCUGCUAUGCUACUGCUGAGACUUUCGGACCAGAAAUGUGACGUCGACACAAACCCGUCAGCAGCACCAGAUGUGUUGCAUAACAUAACAGGAGAUGUUGAUGGUCGUCGGAAUCCAAAGGAACCCAGAGAGCCCACAUGUAGCCUGGACCUAAUAGAGCUCGAUGCAUUUUG